GCUAAGCUGCUUCGCCAGAUGGGGUCUGCUUGUCGCUUACAACCAGUCCGAGCUGCUGCGGUAAAGAGCCGUGGUGGUGAGCGCCGGAUGAAAAGUCCGGACGAGAUCCGAGCAGGU
rnacentral:autocatalytically_spliced_intron from 1 species